ensembl:snRNA U1 U1 spliceosomal RNA
AAACUUACCUGGGAAGAGAGAAACCAUGAUCAUGAAGGUAGAUUCCCCAGGGUGAUACUUACCCAUUGUACUCUACAUGUGCUGACUCCUGCAAAUUCCUCAAAUGUGGGAAACUUAACUGUGCAAUUUGUUGUAGUGGGGGAGUGAAUUUGAGGUCUUCCCCCCA